AUUCUUAUGUCCAUCACCAAGACCUGAAAACCUCCACUGACUGGCUUCCCUACAGACUGAGAAUAUGGCAGAAAAGCUUAUAAAUCACAGCUGUGCAUUGUCCAAUCAACAUUCAACAGUGAUUCUUUUGAAAGUGACUGUGAAGAUCUGAAACUCUCAAGGAAACACAGAGAAAUAGAUUACCAGCCACUCCAAAAGGUCGCCGCAACCCCGAGGAAACCACUGUAUAAUCAAAAACAACAAGCCUGCCCAACAAGCAGCUGCAGGACUUUAGGAAGUUUUCUAUGUUCUCAAGAAAUGAACGUACCGACUUCCUUCCAGAGCCCUGGCUUGGUGGUAAUAACAUUAGCAUAUGAGAAAUCAACACUCUGAAUAGAAAUACAAGCUUAACAAAAGGUAAUCUACUGCAAAUAUGAAUUUAUGUGCAAAGAAAUGCCCCGAGGGAAUACGAAAUGGAAGAUGUCAGAGCUUCAACCUCUCUGCAUUAAUAAGACUUCUUCUGUGAUCAGGAGAACUGGACAAUUGCACACGAAGCUAGAAUGUAAAAUAUUUCCCUAUUCCUGUCA
rnacentral:lncRNA from 1 species